GGAAGCGUGGCAGAGCGGUUGAAUGCACCGGUCUUGAAAACCGGCGAGGGGGCAACCCCUCCGUGAGUUCGAAUCUCACCGCUUCCGCCA
rnacentral:tRNA from 1 species